rnacentral:lncRNA from 1 species
AUGUUAUCUGGCACUGCUAGAUCUCUUUCCUUUCCUUCCUUCCUUCCUUCCUUUUCUUCCUUCCUUCCUUCCUUCCUUUCUUUUCUUCCUUCCUUCCUUCCUUCCUCUCUCUUUCUAUUGUUACUUCCUCUCUGCUGUCUCUAUGUCCUUUCCAUCUUAAAAUUAUGUUUUUUUCCUUCCUAUUUCCCUCCCUCCCUUUAUCUUCUCUGUUCCCCAGUGGAAUUUAUUUGUGCGAAACUGAUUUCAAUAGCAGUUGCUGAAAUUAUGGCUGUCUCCACAGUGGCUUAAUUAAUAUGCUCUUAAUCCUGCCAGUUUGGUGAAAGGCAUUUUGAUGUUUGUCAGUUACCUGUGUGGUGUGUUCCUUCCCUUUUGUCCUUCCUUCAAGGUCUCAGUCUGCAAUGAACAGGAAGGAGCGGGUGCCAGCAGCGGGGAAGGUAGCAGCUUACUGCCUCUGGAGGAGGCCUCUAAAGCCUAUUGACUCUUGGCUAUCUCUCUUGCCACGUGGCUACUUCCCCCAGCCAAACUGAGUAAACUAGAGCUGGCAGAAGGCAGUGGCACUGCUAUGGUUGGAAGCCUUUUAUUUCCAGACACCUAAGUUGAAAGGCAGUUUGGACUGGGAUGCAAGGUAGGGGAGGAGAGGAGGAAAAAAAGCAACAGAGAUAGCUUUGAUCCUAUUCUCCUCACAUAAUGUCAGCUCUCUGAUCCGAGACAACACUAACAGGCCAAGCCAUCACAUAGCUGUUCUGCAUUUUUAAGGUGAAGUUCUUUUUGGCAUCUCUAUCCUUCUCCUUGGAGCCCGGGGCACAUCCCCUAUUUCUGGGUGUUGUUAGAAGGCUCAUUAAGUUAGUGCUGAGGUAUAUUUCAGCUGCCAACCUGUCCCUGUUGACCUCUGCUAUUUCUCUUGCUUUGCAUGGGCUCAUUUGGCUUUCGCUUUUAACGAAGCGCACCUAAUUACAUGCCCAUGUGAUACAAAGUGUGCCCUGGCUUGGGCAUCUCAGGAAAAGGAAGAGAUUAAAACAUAGUUAAGGAAAUAGCUUCCCCCCUCUCCCACCUCCAUUUGCUAAAGCUAAAGAGGCACAGUCAGGCUACCCUGGGGAAGACAGUAAAUUCAUAACCGAUGACUUUUGGGCUAAUUUGUAUGUUGUACACUUUUCCCAGAUGGGGUUGAGAUGUGCGGUGAUCCGAGCCCUGGGAAAUUCUGAUUAAUGGCCUGACAGCAUGAGAAUUGGCCUGGUUGGCUUUUUUGGAGAAUUAUUUUGUAAAGAGUUUGGCCCUAGGCAAUUAAAGAAUGAUGAAGGAUUCUUUAUUUGGUCAGAGUUUGCCAAAUAUGGCUGAAAAGAAUCAAGGAGUCCUAGUGGACUACAAGCUGAAUGUUCACCAGCAACAUAGCUAUGUAGUUUUAAUCAUGUAGAAGUGAUGUAUCAACAUGCCCAUAGUCUGUGGGUAAGGAAAGUUUGGGAUAUCAGAAGCUAAGUGGUCAUGGAUAUUCAGGAAUUCCAAGUCCAAAGAGUAGGAAAUGGAUACUCUUUUUAUUUAAUUUAUUUAAUUUUUGUUCUUACUUUCUGUUUUAGUAACAACUCUAAUGCAUAAGGGCAAAGGCUAGGCAAAUAUGGUUAAGUGACUUACCCAGGAUCAUACAGCUAGGAAGUGUCUGAGGCCAGAUUUGACACCAGGUCUUCCCACCUCCAGGCUUGGUUCUCUAUCCACUGUACCACCUAGCUGCCUCUAAACAGAUACUCUCUCACAAGCUGCUUCCAGCACAUUGUAUAUGGUCAAGGGAUAACAUGGCCCAAAGCUUGGCUUCCAUCUGAGAAUGAACAACUAGAAAUUGCCUUUUACUCCUUCAUUAUUUGGUAAAGAACCUCAGCUGAAGCAAAACUGUCCACUAUUUAACAAAGCAGGGAUGAAGAAAUGAGAAGAAAUGGAGGCAACCUGGAGGGGGUGUUUUUGAGGUUACUUCAUCAUGCUUACUACUUCUAGUAAGUCACUCACAUUCUUGGACCUCAGUGCCUCCAACUGUAAAAUGAAAGUGUUGGACGAGAGGACCUCUGAAAUUCCUUAAUCACUCUGUCUAUGAUCCUAUGAGCCUUUGUGACCAGCCAUUUGAGGGAGUUGAGGCAUACUUAUCUUUCCACGAUUUUUACCUUGACUUCUAACUUUGAGGAUGAUAGAGGUUUACAUAUCCAUUUACAGUCUUAGUAACUUCAGAUAUUUAUUCACUCAGUCAUUCAACAAGUAUUUGUUGAGAGUCAAAUGAUGGUUUAUUAUAAAAUAAUCAUUUAUUCAUUGAGAUGGCUCAAUACUAUGAGAGUGAUUAUAUAUAUAUACCCAAGUGAUUAUAUUUCUUUUGUAGAAUUUGAUGCACUUUCCUCUCGGGAAUGACUGUAUCUAUAACCAGAGCCAUAACCAUCAAUUCUGGCUCCCAGCACAGCAAACACUACAAAAUUAGUUCAGUGAAAACAGUAUGACAAUUGCCUCAAGUUGACUCUUGAAGACAAAUCUGUUGUAGUGGGUUUGAGAAAAGACUUUGGGGAGAAGGAGCAUGGUACAGUGGACAGAAUAAUGGUUUUAGAUUUUAAAGACAGGGAUUUAAACCCUGGCUUUGCCAUUUCUACCUUCCUGACUUUGGGCAAGUCACUGAAAUACUCUGAGACUCUAUUUCCUUAUCUGAAAAAUGAGGAGGCAGUAUAAUAGAGGGUAUUUUUCAGUUGGUAAAAAAUCAGAGAGGUAGAAUAGAGUGCUCUCCCCCUCAGGCAAGGUGAAGGAGGUAUCUCUGUUGUUAAAGUUGACCCAGAAGGAGAAGGAGGGUGAGUCUGUUUUGUUUCCCCUUCAACCUUCCCUAAUUAUGGCCCUUACUUAGUCUGCCAGAUUAUUACCCUCUAUCACUUUGUUGCUGUUCAGCAAGCCCCUCUUCUUAGAUAAAGAGAGGUCACUUCACUCCCAACUCAGUCCCUCACUCACUCUUCAGGCCAGUUAAUAAUAAAAUCAUAAGUUUAUUCUACUGAGGUGAUAAA